CUUCUCUAAAUUUCUUUUCUAAUCUGCUCUCAUUUUCAGAUUUUGCAAAAAUAAUAGGUCUUAAAUUUGAAACUGGAUCGGGCGGUCCAAUUAAGUCAACUUGUGCUGGACUUUUUAGGUUAGAAGAUAUCUUCUAAUGCUAAACAAUCGAAAUAUAUUGUUACUAUAUUUUGGUUUGAUAUAAUUAUACAUUCGAGUCAUUUUAGAAGUUCAUACAUGUUUUACGAGGUUAUAUUUAUAUCAAUUAUGCGUUUCGUUUUCACUCAAUAAUCUUACUAUUACAUAAUCUUACUUUAAAAUCAUAUUAACAUAAUGCGUGAAAAAAUCGAAAAAUACAAAUAUAAUCCUUAUUCAACAAUCUUUUAUUUAUAUAUAACAUAAGCUCUUUAUAAAUAUAAUCUAAUAAAUCUAAUAAUUCCAUUAUUUCAUCUCUAUAUAAAUAAGAUUCAAUUAUUUCUGUAAUAGAUUUGAAUAUAAAUCAAUUAUUUAUAUUUUACUUUAAUGAUAUUUUUAAAAUACUGGCUUUUUGUUCACAAAAAAUAAUUUUUUUUUAACAUGAUUAAUUUGACAAUAAAUCAUUUAAAAAAAAAAAUUUAGAAAUUCAUUGAAAAUGUAUUGAAUAUUAAGAAUAUACUUUUGUGCUCAUCUUGCUAGAAUGAAAUUAUUUUUUUCUAUUUUAAAUUAUAAAAAAUACGAUAAAAAUUUAAAACAAAUUUAGAAAAAAUGAAAAGAUUGCCUGUAUUUAAGACUAGAGGUUUUUUUUUGUAAAAACAUUCCUUUUAUAUGCAUAAAUACUAAGCAGAACUGAAAAAAAAGUUAACAAAU